ACCUAGGUAUUUUAGUGAAUAAGAUGCUUGACUUAAAAUCAGGAAAAUAUGAGUUGCAAUUUUAUCUUAAGCA
rnacentral:tRNA from 1 species